rnacentral:lncRNA from 1 species
GUAAAGAUUCAGGCUAUAUCUGUGCUUUAAAGUGGAGGAAAUAUCUAUAUGCAGACACCACAUUUCUUUUCUGUUAUCUACCACUUCUGGACUAGUUUCAUUUACAAGAGCACAGCAGCAAGAAGAAGGGAAUUAUAAAGACUGAGAUUUAAGCGAUGAAUUCCUGUGUCAGGAGAGCUGCCAGAGCUGUGCUGGGGCAGGAAGAAUGAUUAUUACUAGUAAUAGUAGAAAGCCUGCUGAAGGAUCCUUUUGUCCUACAGAGUGAAUGAAAUCAGAGCAAAAUGUUCCUUGCUCCCAGAAGGCUUAGAGUUAAAGGAGAAGAUGAGACAAUGGAGAGAUAGAAAGAAUGAAACAUCUACAGAGACAAGCUGAGGCUUUCCCUGGAAUAAAGCCUUGUCUGGAGGAGAAGGUGAGGUGCAGGAAUCAACAAAGGCAACAGUUUUCUUUGUGACUGCUUCUCAUGAACAGGCAGCAAGUUCAAAAUAAAUGACUGUGGCAGAAAUUCA